rnacentral:rRNA from 1 species
UGUAUUUAUUAGAUAAAAAACCAAUGCCCUUCGGGGCUUUUUGGUGAUUCAUGAUAACUUUACGGAUCGCAUAGCCUUGCGCUGGCGACGGUUCAUUCAAAUUUCUGCCCUAUCAACUUUCGAUGGUAAGGUAUUGGCUUACCAUGGUUUCAACGGGUAACGGGGAAUUAGGGUUCGAUUCCGGAGAGGGAGCCUGAGAAACGGCUACCACAUCCAAGGAAGGCAGCAGGCGCGCAAAUUACCCAAUCCCGACACGGGGAGGUAGUGACAAUAAAUACUGAUACAGGGCUCUUUUGGGUCUUGUAAUUGGAAUGAGUACAAUUUAAACCUCUUAACGAGGAACAAUUGGAGGGCAAGUCUGGUGCCAGCAGCCGCGGUAAUUCCAGCUCCAAUAGCGUAUAUUAAAGUUGUUGCAGUUAAAAAGCUCGUAGUUGAAACUUGGGCCUGNGCUGGCGGGUCCGCCUCACCGCGUGCACUCGUCCGGCCGGGCCUUCCUUCUGAAGAACCUCAUGCCCUUCACUGGGCGUGCUGGGGAACCAGG